CGAAAUAUAUAUCUAUAUAUAUAAGAGUAAGUAUUUGCAGAUAUUGCUGGAUGCGAUCAGUUUAGUACCAGCUGCUUUCAAUCUUUCUUCAAUGUCAAUGACUAAUGUUGGUCAGAUCGUCUUGUGUACCAUGAAAGGUGUUGUUUUUCCUAGGACGGACGUCUAGCCGACAGCGUUCGACAUCGACAUCUGAGGUCCCUGUGGUUCUUGGAAUAUCCGUCUGCUUUUUUAUUUGAAUCGAGUCAGUUCUCUUGUAUCUCUUCCUAUCCGCGCUUCCCCAGGGAUGGGUCGAGCCUCGGAGUGCUUGUUCGUUUUUGGGGUUCGUGCUUGGGCAGGGGGGGGUCGUGGACUCAAAUGGACUUCGAAACUCUCUUGUCGUAGCAAAGAGUUUUCAAACAGACGCCGCUAAAGUCUGGAAUGUCCCAAUUUCGACGAAAAGCGUGGCGUUAUUAUCAUAUAGCCUCUUUGGGCGUCGCGAGAUGUUUUGGUGCCUGAAACGCGCACCUGACUUGAACCAGACGGACGAAUGUUUGUCUUGCGCUGUAAUUGUUAUGGGAGUGUUCUACAAAUUAUAGAGGACACGUGUUUAGGCCCGACUCUCGCCUUUCCAGCAUCUCCAGUUCACAUCAGAAGGAGGGGAAAAGGGUCGGGACAGCAAUGACAACUCUCGUACCGCUGCACAACGAACUGCGCACCUGAGAACCAUUUGCGGAGGUCGACGUACCGAG
rnacentral:lncRNA from 1 species